rnacentral:rRNA from 1 species
GCUGCCCUUCCUACGGGAGGCAGCAGUGGGGAAUUUUGGACAAUGGGCGCAAGCCUGAUCCAGCGACGCCGCGUGGGUGACGAAGGUCUUCGGAUCGUAAAGCCCUUUUCUGCGUGACGAGGGACGGACGGUAGCGCAGGAAGAAGUCUCGGCUAACUAUGUGCCAGCAGCCGCGGUAAUAAGG